GUGGGGAGGAGUCGGUGUGUGCGCAUGGCGCGGGUUGUUUGAACGUGGGGAAGCCGUACGCCGUCCAUUCGCGUGUCAAUGUAGCGAGGCGGCAGCUCGAUGAAUUUUAAUGUCGGAGAAGAAUAUGGACUGUAUGUGAAGGCAGGGAACCUGCUCUGUCGUUGUCAUCAUCGACCCCUGAUAUCACUUGGAGCAAGACAACCAAUGAUAGCAGUGACCCGACUCUGGAGUGGCAAGAAAGGAUGAAGAGAUAAGAAGGUGGAGUUCUCAGUGAAAUGUGAGAGGUUUUGUUAGUGUAUCUGUUCAUCUAUCAAAGCCCAGACUGCAGCCUUUUGUAAAUUGACUCUGCUCCUUUUCAUCUUUCAUAAAUUGCUUUAAAAAAUAGAGACAAAAGGCUGCCAACUGUGUUAGUUCCUGGAAAAAUCCUUCUUCUGUUUAAAUACAACUUUUAAGAGGCAUUUAAAAGUGAGAUGCAGCCAUGUGUGAAUGCCUGCAUACGUACCAAAGAGCUGCAUCACACUGAACACUUCCAACACUCUACAUGGUGACUGCUGCAGAGCAAUUGGUCCUUAUUCCAUUUUUCCUAGUGGAGCCUGCUUCAGGAUUGAGCUUGGCACUCAGCCACACUGGUUGCAUCACUGAGGUAAGUCUGGGUGCCUACAUCAACCGUCUCUCCCAAGUCGAUUCAACUUGGACAGUAGAGAUGUGCAGGUCUGCUGCAACGUCUGCAACCUUUUCUUUAUAUUCUUUUCAUUAUUAAGUACCAUUUCCUCAGUGCUAGGAGCUUUGCAGAAGAGGGUAAGGCACACAUUCUCUAAUGUUUAAUGUCACUCAUGCUGCUGUGGAGUCUUGUUCCAAUGGAUGACUGCAUGAAACCAGUUCUACUGUAGUUUUGUUGUCCUACUUCAGGUCAUAUAAGGUGUGAUGACAGGGAAUUCAGCUAUUAGUUUGUGUGGCAGACCCAGAGGCGGCAGAGCACAGUAAUUCUGCAGGUUCAUUCAUUAAAAAUUCUUCCUGCCCACGUGUUCAUGUGAACUGCAUUGACUUCCAAAGCAUGACUCUGCCCUGUAAUAUCACUUCAUGGGAG